UUUCGUUUGUUUUUAUGGCUGAGUAAUAUUCCAUUGUAUAUAUGUGCCACAUCUUUUUUAUCCAUUCAUCCGAUGAUGGGCACUUAGGUUGUUUCCAUCUCCGGGCUAUUGUAAAUAGAGCUGCAAUGAACAUUUUGGUACAUGACUCUUUUUGAAUUUUGGUUUUCUCAGGGUAUAUGCCCAGUAGUGGGAUUGCUGGGUCAUAGUUCUAUUUGUAGUUUUUUAAGGAACCUCCAUACUGUUCUCCAUAGUGGCUGUAUCAAUUUACAUUCCCACCAACAGUGCAAGAGGGUUCCCUUUUCUCCACACCCUCUCCAGCAUUUAUUGUUUCUAGAUUUUUUGAUGAUGGCCAUUCUGACUGGUGUAGUUUUGAUUUGCAUUUCUCUAAUGAUUAAUGAUGUUGAGCAUUCUUUCAUCUGUUUGUUGGCAGUCUGUAUAUCUUCUUUGGAGAAAUGUCUAUUUAGGUCUUCUGCCCAUUUUUGGAUUGGGUUGUUUGUUUUUUUGUUAUUGAACUGCAUGAGCUGCUUAUAAAUUUUGGAGAUUAAU